rnacentral:rRNA from 1 species
GACGAACGCUGGCGGCGUGCCUAAUACAUGCAAGUCGAACGAGUGGCGGACGGGUGAGUAACACGUGGGAACCUAUCACUCAGAGGGGGAUAACACUUGGAAACAGGUGCUAAUACCGCAUACUGCUGGAUGGAGGGGGGGGGGAUUAGCUAGUUGGUGAGGUAACGGUUCACCAAGGCCACGAUGCAUAACUGGGCUGAGAGGAUGAUCAGCCACACUGGAACUGAGACACGGUCCAGACUCCUACGGGAGGCAGCAGUGGGGAAUAUUGGACAAUGGGCGCAAGCCUGAUGCAGCCAUGCCGCGUGUAUGAAGAAGGUCUUCGGAUUGUAAAGUACUUUCAGCGGGGAGGCGUUACUCGCAGAAGAAGCACCGGCUAACUCCGUGCCAGCAGCCGCGGUAAUAC